UAAAGUCCUCGUUAGGCGAGGCGUCUACAUCAACACAGGCCACUGCUCCGAACCGUCCAAAGACGCUAAGGAGUAGAACAGAGGUUGCCGGAUUAAGGCUUCUUCCAAGGUGGCUGAAUCUUAUCAAGGUUCUCACGUGAUGUAGUGCCGAAGCUCCACCAGGGGGAUUACG
rnacentral:sRNA from 1 species